UCCUCCUUCCGUCAUUUCCUCUCUCUCUAAACACACUCUCUCUCUAAAAGUCUCUCGGAUCGAAGCCAUGAGAAGGAGAUCCCACGCUACGUGUUUCUGCAAUUCUCUCUCGUCAAGCACUCAUCAGGCUAUCGCUUCCCUCCGUUGACACUCGCAGUUUCGCGCCGAUCGUCACUGAAGAAAAAGAGGCGCGAGUAAAAGAUGUUGCACGAGCUCCUACUCGCGCUUCUCGGCUACACCGGAGAUCUCAUUGUCGACGAGCGAGAGCACCGACAGUCUCUCGGGCUCCCUCUCUCUCCCGAUGCUCCCAUUUCCGAUGAGCGCGCUUUCAAGCUCGCGCCUGAUGUCUCCUUCAUCGAGCCUAGCGAGAGGGAUCUCAUCGAGAGGCUCAUCACAUUAGGAUUCUAUUAUCGAGAGUUGGAUAGGUUUGCCACAAAAUCUCGAAAUUUAAGUUGGAUAAGGUCUCCAAACUUGUCUCCCUUGGAGAGAAUUUCUGAGUUGUCAAAGAAGAAAGAAGAAAAACCAAGCGUUUACCGUAGGGCCAUUGCUAAUGGCAUUGUUGAGAUACUGUCAGUCUACAGGUCUGCUGUUCUCCACAUUGAGCAGAAGUUGUUGUCAGAAUCUUUGCCCAUUUUGGCCACUGUCACUCAAGGCCUUAACAAGUUUUAUGUGCUCUUGCCACCCCUAUAUGAGCUCAUACUUGAGAUUGAACGGAAUGAUAUUCGUGGAGGACAACUUCUUAACCUUUUACAUAAGCGAUGCCACUGUGGGGUACCUGAACUGCAGACAUGCAUUCAGAGGCUUCUGUGGCACGGGCACCAAGUCAUGUACAACCAACUUGCAUCUUGGAUGGUCUAUGGCAUCCUUCAGGACCAGUAUGGAGAAUUUUUCAUUAGAAGGCAGGAAGAGAGGGAUGUAGAUCAUGGCUCAAGCAAUGCAGAUCUAUCCAGAAGAUUGUCUCGUUUAUCAACUGAUGAUACUUCUUUGACAGAUUGGCACCUGGGAUUUCAUAUUUUUUUGGAUAUGCUUCCUGAGUAUAUCCAUAUGCGUGUCGCAGAAUCAGUGUUAUUUGCUGGUAAAGCAAUCAGGGUUCUUCGCAAUCCGAGUACUUCCUUUCGGUUUGACGAUGCUGCUAGUCAUCAACAAAUGCAAAGAGGCCCUCAAAAAAUUCAAGGGUUUGUUGGACGAUUUCCCUUCCUGAAGGAGCCCCUUGUGGACUCAAAGCUCAGUGCAGAGGACUUAUUUCCACAGUCUGAGGCUGAUAAGAUUGAAGCAAUGCUUAGAGACCUAAAGGAGUCAUACGAGUUUCACAAGAGAUCAUUUGAAUGUGCCAUUGACUCCAUUCGAGCAAUUGCUGCCAGUCAUCUUUGGCAGCUCGUGGUCGUUCGUGCUGACUUAAACGGCCAUCUGAAGGCUUUGAAAGACUAUUUUCUUUUAGCAAAGGGAGAUUUCUUCCAGUGUUUUCUUGAGGAAAGUCGGCAACUGAUGCGCUUGCCACCGCGUCAGUCAACUGCUGAAGCUGAUCUUAUGGUCCCCUUCCAGCUGGCUGCGCUAAAGACGAUCAGUGAGGAAGACAAGUACUACUCUAGAGUGACCUUGCGGUUGUCUUCGUUUGGGAUUCCAGUCAAAUCUUCCCAGGUAGAUUUAAUAAAGGGUAAACUUAAUGCUGCUCCUCCAAAUGUGUCCUCAGAGAUGUCCCUCGAUGGAUGGGAUGGUAUUUACCUUGAUUAUUCUGUUGAUUGGCCCCUCGAAUUGUUCUUUACUCAAGAAGUUCUCUCUAAGUACUGCAAGGUCUUCCAGUAUUUGCUACGGCUAAAACGAACACAAAUGGAGUUGGAUAAAUCAUGGGCAUCUAUGAUGCAUCAAGAUCACGUAGAAUUUUCCAAACAUGUUAAUGAUGGUGUAAACAGCUCGAUGCCUCAAAAACGACGUCAAUACCUCAAACCUGCCUGGCGGGUUAGAGAGCACAUGGCAUUCUUGAUCAGGAAUCUUCAGUUUUAUAUCCAGGUGGACGUGAUAGAAUCUCAGUGGAAUGUCUUACAAGCACGAAUCCAAAAUUCUAAUGACUUCACUGAACUUGUAGGAUACCAUCAAGAGUAAGUAAAAUAUUUUUUUUUGGCUUAUGAUUUAUUAAUUGCUUAAAGAAAAUACAUAAAACAUGAGGUGAGUGAUUUCGGAUUAUUCUAGUAUUAAUAGCAUAAUGGUAGCACCAAUAACAUCGGCAACUAUAUGGAAAACUGUGAUAGAUAUCCUUUAAAAAAUUAUAGGUUGUUUCAGUGCAAAAGUGAACAAAAUUUUAUCUCCAGGGUGCACCAUCUGGUUCGUGAUUAUAGCAAUAUAGCAUCUUCAAAGUCAAGUCACGAAAAGAUAAAUGAAAUUACCUGUUAUAUUGAUAUAUAAACUUGCAUAACGAGUGUGGAGAAAUGCAAUAUCCAACAUCCUCCCCCUUUCCUGGGAGCCAAUUUUGUAGAUGAAUUAUAGAGAUUGCCGCGGAAGAAUAUGAUGGUAUGGCGGCGGUGUCCUUUCUUGGGAUCUUUUAUUGAUGGCGGAGAUUAUAUUAUGAGGGCCACCACGAUAAAACUAUUUCACCACAGGAUACACUAUUUCACUAGUGAUCUGCUGUUCAAAAUGCAUAUUGCGGUUAUAUGUUCUCUCACAUGAUAUAUCCUUCAUCUCGUUAUUUUGUAGUAGAAAAUGUACUUAAACAUAAGAAUAUCUGUUUUGACAUGCUACUUAGUGUGUUGGCUAUGUUUUAAGCAUAAUGAAUUAUCUAUCAAAUCUCAAAUAAUCAUGUCUUUUUGGUACCGCAUGCUCAAAAGAAUCUUUCCUCUAUCCUACCACAUUUUGGUAGGGGAAGUUUCUCGUCCCCUUUGUUGUUCCACAUACUGAAGCUUACUACGCUCAUGUACUGAAAUGUUCUGGGGAUCAUGUUUUGCUGUUGUAUGACCAGUUUCUAUUAUGGGGUACUUAUCAGCCUUGAUUUCUCAGUCUUUCUUAGAUAUUGGUUCAGUGUCAAGGAUACUGGAUAGCAUAAUGAAGCUUUGCCUCCAGUUUUGCUGGACCAUCGAGAAUCAGGAUGGUUUUACAAAUACAGCCGAAC